rnacentral:rRNA from 1 species
AACGAACGCUGGCGGCAGGCUUAACACAUGCAAGUCGAACGCCCCGCAAGGGGAUUGGCAGACGGGUGAGUACCGCGUGGGAACAUACCCUUUCCUGCGGAAUAGCUCCGGGAAACUGGAAUUAAUACCGCAUACGCCCUCCUGGGGAAAGAUUUAUCGGGGAAGGAUUGGCCCGCGUUGGAUUAGCUAGUUGGUGGGGUAAAGGCCUACCAAGGCGACGAUCCAUAGCUGGUCUGAGAGGAUGAUCAGCCACAUUGGGACUGAGACACGGCCCAAACUCCUACGGGAGGCAGCAGUGGGGAAUAUUGGACAAUGGGCGCAAGCCUGAUCCAGCCAUGCCGCGUGAGUGAUGAAGGCCUUAGGGUUGUAAAGCUCUUUCACCGAUGAAGAUAAUGACGGUAGUCGGAGAAGAAGCCCCGGCUAACUUCGUG